ACCUUAGAGACCAACUAAGUUUGUUAUUGGUAUGAGCUUUCGUGUACAUGAAGUGUGCAUGCACACAAAAGCUCAUACCAAUAACAAACUUAGUUGGUCUCUAAGGU